CCUUUCUUAAUCCUGCAUGCUUGUUAAAGCACAGUCAAAGUAGAUGGUCUUGGGCAGUUUGGUGAAGGACUUUCCAAGCUGCUGCACACCGCGGAUUCGCCACAUUUGUUUAGUUUCAUAUACCUACUCAAGAGGCAUGUUCCAGUGCGGUGUCUGAAAGAGACACAAGGGGGCCCAUACGCAUUUGUACGAAACUGAGUGGCGUUGCGUUCGUCAUUUGCUAAUUAACGUCUAGAAGUGUCCACAGUACGAAGUGAUGUAUCUGCUCUAGCUCAUACGCGGCAAGCGGCUGUCCCGAUGAAUGACGAAAACGCGACUGUGGAAACAGUACUGUCUUUUAGCGCCACCAACAUCUUUGUUGUCCUAAGUGCGGUCUCGGUAGGCAGUUCUAAUUCACAGAUUCACCGCGCUGUGGACAGAACACAAAUCUACUGGGGAAAGGACUUCGCGUGACCACUUCGGUGUCCUCUCCCCCGCAGUCACAGAGGUCGCCAGCAGCCCCAGAUUGAACUCUUGCAACAGUAGUGGACUUAUUCCCGGAAGCACUGAAUGUCACAGCCAAACGUGUCUGUUCUAGAAUUGAGUAACUGGUCAAUGUGGCAUGCACAUGGAAUGAUUUAUGGCUGUCGUCACUAGCUCGAUAAUCGUUCUGUCAACAGAGUUCCAAAAUGUGGGGACAACGGGACCGGGCAACAGCAACCAUAUUUUUUUUCCCAGCAUCGUCCUUGUGAGAUGAUGGUGGAUUCACAGCCGUGCUUGACGCACUGAAAACAUCCGCCUCCAAACUAAUACGGAUACGUCGGCUCCGUGCAACCUCAGCAAGAUGGUAGUAGUCAGCCUUCUCUGUGCUGCCCCCCUUGACGGAGCUAUAGUUUGUUUUAUCGGUUAUUCAGGGGAUGGCAUCGAAGCAUGCCACUUUGGUUUUGAA
rnacentral:lncRNA from 1 species